CAGUCGCCACGGUAAUACGUAGGUGGCAAGCGUUGUCCGGAAUUAUUGGGCGUAAAGGGCUCGUGGGCGGUUUCUUAAGUCUGAUGUGAAAGCCCCCGGCUCAACCGGGGAGGGUCAUUGGAAACUGGGAAACUUGAGUGCAGAAGAGGAGAGUGGAAUUCCACGUGUAGCGGUGAAAUGCGUAGAGAUGUGGAGGAACACCAGUGGCGAAGGCGACUCUCUGGUCUGUAACUGACGCUGAGGAGCGAAAGCGUGGGGAGCGAACAGGAUUAGAGACCCCCGUAGUCCCUGUCUCUUAUAC
rnacentral:rRNA from 1 species